rnacentral:rRNA from 1 species
UACGAAGGGGGCUAGCGUUGUCCGGAUUUAUUGGGCGUAAAGAGCUCGUAGGCGGUUGGGUAAGUCGGGUGUGAAAACUCCGGGCUCAACUCGGAGACGCCACCCGAUACUGCUCUGACUUGAGUCCGGUAGGGGAGUGGGGAAUUCCUGGUGUAGCGGUGAAAUGCGCAGAUAUCAGGAGGAACACCGGUGGCGAAGGCGCCACUCUGGGCCGGAACUGACGCUGAGGAGCGAAAGCGUGGGUAGCAAACAGG